rnacentral:lncRNA from 1 species
UCGCCUGACACGGUAGUUUAUCGACUGAGCUCGAAGACAUCCGACUAGCUUUAGACCAACAAACUGAAAAGGAGGUUAGUUUAUUAAUUUCAUAGUUAUCGGUUUUUUAUUCGUACUGUAGUUGCUAAAAUUUAUAAAUUCAUACUACAGUUCAUAUGGAUGCCAUACGCAUUUCUAAGGAUUCAAGAAUGAAUCUUGGAUGAAUUUUUGGCCAACCGUAGAAUCUGGCACUUGAAAGUGUCAUUGAUUGUGUUUGCAAUGGUCGAGAUGUACAAAUCUGACUGAGUUAUACGAAAAUUCGGGUGUACGCAGUGUAUUCCACCAUACCUCAAGAACUCGAUGACCUGUACAAGAUUGACAUGCGGGGGAGACUUGACAAAUAUUGGGCAACAUUCCACAAUAAAAAAAAUAUAUCGAGAUUUUGCAGCACAAGUACAAUUACUUGCCAACGCGUGAACCAUUUCUCACGUCCGAGUUGGCG